UGCUGCUGUACUUGGUGGUGUUGACAAUCUGAUUUCUCCAGAUUUGCUGAAACAGAUACUCAAGAUCAGCUAAAUUAAUCAAUCAGUGGUGGGAGAACAACAUAUUUCAAUUCAAUUAAAGCAGAAUAAUGAUUUAUCUUAUCAAAACAAUUGCAUCACUUCUACUUGCGCCUCCGCCUGUAUCAGAAUAGCUAUUAUCACAACUACAUGCCGAACCGCAGCGGACAUCAAUUCCAUUAGCGGCAUCAUACCUGUAAACCCUCUUCCACUUCAAUGAUCGAGCUUGAUUUGAACAUUUUUCUUCAAUAAAUCUUUCAAGCAAACAAGUGACGAAAUCAGAAGACUAAUUGCACUUUGAGCAUCAACUAUCGGUGGUCUUGGACGGUGCUCUGUGCUCCAACAAUCAAAUAGACAUCAAACCUGCACUUUCAGGAUUGACGGGGGGAAAUUGUAAGCUACAAUUCAAUGGCAUUAUGACUCCUAUCAAAAAAAUUGGAUGUAUAAUUCUACCACUACCGCUUCCGGCGGCCGCCUCUUACACUUAUCACUAUUACCACAAAUACCACCAGCAUCACAACUCCCAUCAGCAACAUCUAUAGAUGCUCAAAGAAGAUUAGGUUGAUGCUCAUGCUGUAGAAAUUGAAAGGCCCCCUCAACACCAAAUUGGAAGCUAGAGGAGAAUCAUGUUUGGAUUUCGAGGGUGUUCUCUGCUUAUUUUUAAUAGUCAAAUAAAUAGAAAUUUCUUCGAUUGAUCUAAACACCAAAUUAAUUGCAGUUUCAGGCCAUGCCAACAUAUUUGAAUUGCAAGAUCCAGUUCUUGACUGUUUGAACUCGAGCAUCCAGUGCAUGUUGUCUUAGAGUAUUAGCUUAACUGAUAUAAGGGUUCAUGUUCGCCCAGAAGAGAGGAUGGUUGAUGCUCAUGCUGUGGAAGAUGAUGUAGAUUUAGAGGGAAAUCAAGUUUUACUUUGAGGAUUCUAUCUGUUUAAUGUCAUAAGCCAAAUACAAGUUGGUUAACUUAAUCGAAACACCAAACUGCUGUUUAAGGAACAGGAUAACUGAGGGAAAAUGUACAUGUGUGUCUUGUUAAUCAUCUAAAGAUGGGUCGUAACUGUCUCAGUGUUCUUAAACGGUGUUUCGACCUCCUAAUGGUUGGCGAGGGUGAACUGCUUAUUGCAGUCUAGUGUAUUUCUUGUAUGUAACCAUCUAAUUAAGCUAUCACUCUAAUUGAAUUAAGCUUUAGUUAUGUAUCAUAUGUGCUAGCCACCUAAACUUGUUGUGAGGAACAUAUCAGAGACUACUUCAAUAAUGUACUUUACUUUUCAAGCUUCCAAUUAUCCCUUGAUCAGGUUCUAACUAGAUUCCAGUGGCGGCUAUCUUGGCUACUUUUAUAAAUGGAUGCAAAUGCCAGGUGAAAAUUGCUAAGUUCUUUGUUUGAUUUUCUGUUUAAUGAUUGUUAUUAGUGAUGGAGAAGUCCCACCCAUGUACUUUUUGCUGCCAUUAUACCAGCUGUGAUGGUAGCUGCUCUAUAUUUUUUUGACCACAGUAUUGCUUCUCAAAUAGCACAGCAGAAGGAAUUCAAUGGGUCUUCUAUUGCAGGGGAAGAUUUGUUGUUGAUGUUCUGUUCAUGGUACUUCUGGUGAUGAAGAAAUGGAUGACAUGAUGGGUGCUGGUUGUGUAUGCUGCAGGCUUUUGGCUUGAGGUUAUUGCACUGAAUUGCUGAGAGCUUCGCACAGGUGGAAUGGCUGAAUAAGUUGCAUCUAGAGACUCACAACAAGAGAAGAUGAUGGCGUGCUGAGCAGCUGAGGAUUGUUGGUGCUGAUUCUGCAGUAGCUAGGAUUGUUGGGUGUCCUUCUACUUUUGCAGCCUAAACUUUGACAACAAAACCAGAUCUAGAAAAUACGGUAUCAGGUUGCAACAGUAUGAAUCUUAGUGAGUUUCAGAAGAAGCAUGAUGUAGCCUUAAAGCUUUAAGUAUUUGGUAAGAAGAAGCAUGAUGUAGCCUUCGAACUUAAAGUAUGUUAAAGAGCUUGUAAUUUGUUUUUGUUUUUUAAAGAAAUGAGAUUGUAUUUUUAUUUAAUUUUUGUAAAAUGAGAUUCU